CGGGGCUUGUGCGCUUCUGCAUGGAUUGACACGCUCCCGGCUGUUUCCAGAGGUGAGAACUGCAGGUGGUCACAAUUCAUUGGCAGGGAAUGAGGUCAAACAUGAUGUACACGUGAAUAUUAAGAAAAAACAUCACAUUCCAAUAAUUAUUAAACGCGAAAAAAUGGAAUUUGGGUAGAACACCUCGAAGGACACGUCAGCCCUACACGACAACCUGGAGGCCCGCCGCACAGGUUGAGGACCACUGAAUUAAAGGGAAGGUUUGUUCCUUUUUUGUUACGAGAGAUAAGAAUUGUUUAAAACAUUUAUCAAUUAAUUCCUUAUUCCUUACUGGUACAAGAAACUAUAGGAGGACUAAAUCUGAUGCCCAUCAGAGGGUUUACACCUCUUUCCUCUUUUGUGCCCUUGAUAUUAAAAUGUAAAUUAUAGUAUGUCUGAGUACCUUAAGUACAUGUGAUAUAGAUAAAUGCCAUUUCAGUUAAUUAAAUAAGAAAACAGAAUAAGAAUUUACAUGCACUCUUUUAAAUUUAGAGUAAGAAUAUGCUGCAAUCUUAAAAAUAAAGGUGCCAUCGUGGUUCUUCAGACCAAUGCCGUAGGGGAAACAUUCCUAGUUCCCAAAAGACCAAUCUGCAUGAAGGUUCCAGAAAGAACUAUUUUUUAUUUAGAUCUGUAACAGGCUCCAUACUGUAAAUAACUAUGAGUAAAUGUUAACAAAUGUUGUGAUUUUAGAAGGACUCUUGCUGCAUACAGGUUAUGUCCAUGUUUUCUUAACUCUGUUAGUAAAAUGUUAUAUAUAUUAAAAAUUUUGUCUACAUUUUAGGACAUUUUUCAAACCACAAAUAACCAACUUCAUAUGCGAAGUACCCAUCCUAGAAUUAAAUGGUGCUUUGUCAAGCAAAGGUUCAGUAAGGAA